rnacentral:rRNA from 1 species
CUAAUCUGCCCACUGUUUUAUAAAGGGCCGCAGUAAUUUGACUGUGCAAAGGUAGCAUAAUAAUUAGUUUUUUAAUUGAAAGCUUGUAUGAAUGAUUGGACGAGAAUAGAACUGUCUUAAAAUUACAAAAUUAGAAUUUAAUAUUUAAGUAAAAAAGCUUAAAUAUAAAUUAGACACGAGAAGACCCUAUAAAUUUUUAUAUUUUUUUGUUUUUGAAUUAUUUGAAUUUAUUUGUUAAUUAUGGAAUAAUUAUUUAAUUGGGGCGAUAGAAAAAUUUAUUAAGCUUUUUUAAUAUAAAGUCCAAUUUCUUUGAGUAUGUGAUCCUUUAUUACCAUUGAUAGAUUACUAUACCUCACGGAUGACCCCGUAAUUUUUUUUUAUAAUUCAAAUAAAAAAAAAAUAUUGCCGCCCCCCUGUUGGAUUAAGAUUAAAUUUUGGUGAAUAAAUACCUGUUUGUUGUCUGUUGACCUUUCAAUGUCGCACCCGCUA